AAUUGACGGGACCGCACAAGCAGCGGAGCAUGUGGUUUAAUUCGAAGCAACGCGAAGAACCUUACCAGGUCUUGACAUCCUCUGACAAUCCGAGAGAUCGGACUUUCCCUUCGGGGACAGAGAGACAGGUGGUGCAUGGUUGUCGUCAGCUCGUGUCGUGAGAUGUUGGGUUAAGUCCCGCAACGAGCGCAACCCCUACGUUUAGUUGCUAACGCGUGAAGGCGAGCACUCUAGACGAACUGCCGUUGACAAAACGGAGGAAGGUGGGGAUGACGUCAAAUCAUCAUGCCCCUUAUGUUCUGGGCUACACACGUGCUACAAUGGCCGGUACAGACGGACGCAAAGCCGCGAGGUGGAGCAAAUCCUAAAAAGCCGGUCUCAGUUCGGAUUGCAGGCUGCAAUUCGCCUGCAUGAAGUCGGAAUCGCUAGUAAUCGCAGGUCAGCAUACUGCGGUGAAUACGUUCCCGGGCCUU
rnacentral:rRNA from 1 species